UCAGGCCAUGUGAUCUCCGCAGCUCAGGCCACAUUCCACUUUGGGCAAGCCAUGAGAAUUCAAUUCCUCCCCCAGGCACCCCCUCUGGAGUGCUCCUACUCAUGUUGAGCUCUCCUUAUAGUUAGUGCUGACUCUGGAAAGUCUUUUAGCCGCCUACCCUCCAGUCGUGGACCCAGCUCUGAGGCUUUGUGGGUAAUCUACAAGUAUGCCCAGCUUUGCUCAAAACAAGUUCUACUGGAAAGAUGGGAACAAACCAGCGAGAGGGAAAGAAGGAGGGACUGCCUCGUAGCCCUGAAAUGCAUGCUGCACUUCCAUCUGUCCACUUGGCCACCUGCUUCUCUCUCAUCGGUGCCAAGUCCUGCCAGCAUCGGCAGGGUCACGUUGGUAGGGAGAGAGAUGUCCGGGGGCAAGUGAGACCUUCGACUCCACUGAAGCAUUCCUCAGCUGAUGGUACUCUUAGAUGAGAUCUUUUAUGUUACUUCUUACCUGCCAUAUGUCAUUGUCUACGAAUGCCCAGCAGGCACUUCUCUGCCCAUCGCUGAAUGCCCUGUGAUCUGCAUUUCUUCAGAGUCUCUUGCAUUCUGUGACUCACAUCAUAUAGCAUCACCAGGAGAAUAUUGGUUUUUAACCAUCUCAUCCUUUGUUUCAAGAGAAGCUCAAGGUAAUCCAAAGCCCUCUUCAGUUUCUCACAAGGAAUACAGCCCACUGCCUUUCUUCCUUAUUCAGGUCUUCACCCAUCUCUGGUAACUGUCCAAAAGAUAUUUACUGAUGUGGACUGUCCAUUAGAGUGUAUCAGAAGUGGACACUAGGCAGGCUUCAUCCACUUGGUUUUUCAUGUGUGAGUGCUAGACUAAAUUGCUUGGGGUGAAUAUGUCUUCCUUUCAUAAGCUUUGUAAUAUUUUGGGGUGGGCAGCUAGGUGGCACAAUGGGCACAGUAUUGGGUCUCUGGUCAGGAAGACUCAUCUUCAUGAGUUCAAAUCUGACCUCAGACACUUUACUAAGCGACAUGACCCUGGGCAAGUCACUUAACUCUGUUGGCCUCCGUUUCCUCAUCUGUAAAAUGAAUUGGAAAAGGAAAUGGCAAACCACUCCAGUAUCUUUGCCAAGAAAAGCCCAAAUGAGAUCAAGACGAGGAGGGCAUGAAUGAAAGAAUUCAACAGGAACAAUAUUCUGUGGUUUAAUACAAUUAGCACAAUGUUACUUGAAAACAGGAGUAUCUGGAAGCCCUCACAACCUAUCGAGAAUCCCUCUUCCAUUUGAUCUCUCUUUGUGUGAAUCACAACAAAAUGGGACAAGUCUUCAGAGAGGCAGGAGUGCCAUCUUACUUGUCUCCUGAGGAAUCUGAAUAGCAGUCAAGAAGUAAGGGUUAGAGCCGAGCACGGAUUGUUAGAAGAUUGGAAAGAGAGUAUGACAAGGCUAUAUGUUGUCACCUUAUUUAACUUCUAGGUGCAGUGCAUUAUGCAAAAUGCCAGACUGGAUGAAUCAAAAGCCAGAAUUGAGGCUGCCAGGAAGAAAUAUCAACAGUCUCAGAUGCACAGAUGACGCCACUCUGAUGGCAGAAAGUGAAGAAGAAUUAAGAAGCCCUUUAAUGAGGGUGAAAAAGGAGAGUACAAAAGUUGGCUUGAAGCUUAACAUUAAAAAAAAACCACUAAGAUUUUGGCUUCACUUUCUGGCAAACAGCAGGAAAGAAAUGGAAGCAGAGUCAGAAUUUAUAUUCUUAGAGUCAAAGAUCACUGUCGAUGGUGACUGCAGCCAUGAAAUAAAACACAUUUGCUCCUUGGAAGGAAAGCUAUAACCAAUUGGACAGCACACUAAAAGAAGAGCCAUCCCCUUGCUCACAAAAGGUCCAUCUAGUCAAAGCCCUGGUUUUUCCAGUAGCAAUGUAUGGGGUGAGAGUUGAAUUGUAAGGAAAAGUGAGCAGCGGCAAAUCCGUUCCUUCACAUUGUGGUGCUGGAGAAGACUUUUGAGAGUCCCUUGGACAUAACAAGGAGAUCAAAUCAGCACUUAAUUAAUUCAGACUCUUCACUAGAAGAUCAUAUCCUGAAGCUGAAGCUUGAAUACUUUGGCCACAUUCAGAGAAGACAAGACUCAUUGGAAAAGAUCCUUGAUACUGGGAAAGACUGAAGACCAAAGGAGAAGGGGACAGCAGAGAUUGCGAUGGAUAUACAGAGUCAUGGGAACAGUGAACAUGAGCUUGGACAGACUUCAGGAGAUAGUGGAACACAGAAAGGCUUGCUGUGCUAUAUAGUCCAUGAGGUCACAAAGAGUCAUACAUGACCCAACAACAAGCUGGACGAAGCUGGUGGACUAACUCAAUGGUGGCGCCAUAUACCUUGGGUGAGUUUGCCAACAGGUGGAUUUGUCAAAGACAAUAAAGUUGCCUCGUGCCUUCUUGUUUUGUGCCUUGUUUGAUGUUUAGAACCAGAGGAUUGCCAAACUUGUCUCUGCUAUUACACCUAUCAAAGUAUUAUAUGAUCAUAACAUAAACAUACAAGAUAUCUUGGAAGGCAAUCUAUUAAGGAAUGUUUUGAUCUAUGAAAUCUAAUACUUUCUACAGUCAUCGAAUAAUAAGCACAAUUCUCUACCUCUAAGGCAGCCAGGUAAGGCAGUGAAUGGAGUGCCAGGCAUAGA